UACGUAGGGUGCGAGCGUUGUCCGGAAUUACUGGGCGUAAAGAGCUCGUAGGUGGUUUGUCGCGUUGUUCGUGAAAUCUCACGGCUUAACUGUGAGCGUGCGGGCGAUACGGGCAGACUGGAGUACUGCAGGGGAGACUGGAAUUCCUGGUGUAGCGGUGGAAUGCGCAGAUAUCAGGAGGAACACCGGUGGCGAAGGCGGGUCUCUGGGCAGUAACUGACGCUGAGGAGCGAAAGCGUGGGUAGCAAACAGG
rnacentral:rRNA from 1 species